GUUAAAAAGGAUUUAGGGUUCACCAAUUGUGACGCAUCAGCUUCCUUUGAGAAGCUUCACUCUCUUCUUCCACGAAACAACGCCGUUCCCCUUCAUUUUCCGAUCAACCCUUCCACAGCGCCACCGUGAGCGGUGAUUCGUCCUCCUCAAGCUCCCGUCUCUCUUCCUUUCGUUCUCGGAUUCACGACAAUGGUGAAGUGGUUGAUGAUGAAAGUUACGUGCUGGAUUGUUGUUCUUGUACGCAGAUUGUGACGAAGUUGUAGUAGAUGUCGUUGCGGAUUCGAUGCUGAAGCUUGAUGGCGGAGAUCGAUCUUUUGAGGGUGGUGAUUAUAUUGCAGGUCCUCCCCUGAUUGAAUUUGACACAGAGCGGUGAAUACGAUCGAAGGUGAAGUAGCUUCGAACGUUUCGAUACCAGGAGGAUGCGAGAUAAACGCAGAGCCAAGAUUGAUUAAGAUAUUUUUAGUUUCUCGCACUUCGAUUCACUUCCUCUUCUAUGAAUCCCGAAUUCUAUUCUUCUUCUUUUUCUGAUUUUUUCUUUGUAUGCAUUCUUGAGAUGUUGUUCUUGAUGAUGAUUUUUUUUUUAAUUUGCAGAUGAAGAUGAAGCGUGAGGAAGGUGAAGGUGAUGGAGAGUGAGAGAUUGAAGGUUUGUUGAAGUUGAACCAAUGGAGAGGAUUGGAGCUGAUUCUGUUAAGGUUAGAAAUUUCAGAGUUGGUGAAUGAAUGAAAGUGAUGAAGAUUGCCACGGUUCUGAAUCGAUGAAGGUUCUUGGAGAAUAUGAAUGGAGAUUGAAAGGAGAUGAAUGUGAAGUGGUGGAGAAUGAAGAUGGUGAAGAAUCAGGUGGUGUGUGAAGGUGAGAAGGGAUCGAGGGAUUGGUGAAAAAAAUGGUGGAGAAUGGUGAGUGAUGAAGAAUUCCUGUUAUAUAGAGUUUCUUCAGGAUUUCACUGUAUGAGGGGCAGAAGUGGAUUCGGCUCGACAUAUUUCCGUGGACAGCGUUAGAACAACAAUCUGAGUUGAAUCUCAAUGAUGAUGAAUGGCUCUUUUUAUUGCAACUUUUGUAAACAACUGGAUUUGAAUGAAUGAACCUUGUGUGGCUCCAUGUUUAUUUCAAUGUGUUUACUUGAAACAUCCUUAGAGAUUUUUGUAAAAUUGAAUUAAUCACGGCAUAUGCUUCCAAUUUACUUGUGUGAAUGAAGUCUGGCCCUGGGCAUUUGAAACAUGAUUAAA